AACGAACGCUGGCGGCAUGCCUAACACAUGCAAGUCGAACGAGACCUUCGGGUCUUGUGGCGCACGGGUGCGUAACGCGUGGGAACCUGCCCUUAGGUUCGGAAUAACUCCCCGAAUGGGGUGCUAAUACCGGAUAAUGUCUUCGGACCAAAGAUUUAUCGCCUUUGGUUGGGCCCGCGUUGGAUUAGCUAGUUGGUAGGGUAAAAGCCUACCAAGGCGACGAUCCAUAGCUGGUCUGAGAGGAUGAUCAGCCACACUGGGACUGAGACACGACACAGACUCCUGCGGGAUGCGGCAGUGGGGAAUAUUGGACAAUGGGCGGAAGCCUGAUCCAGCAAUGCCGCGUGAGUGAUGAAGGCCUUAGGGUUGUAAAGCUCUUUUACCCGGGAUGAUAAUGACAGUACCGGGAGAAUAAGCUCCGGCUAACUCCGUG
rnacentral:rRNA from 1 species